GAUGAAGAACGUAGCGAAAUGCGAUAAGUAAUGUGAAUUGCAGAAUUCAGUGAAUCAUCGAAUCUUUGAACGCACAUUGCGCCCCCUGGUAUUCCGGGGGGCAUGCCUGUUCGAGCGUCAUUAUAACCACUCAAGCUCUCGCUUGGUAUUGGGGUUCGCGGUUUCGCGGCCCCUAAAAUCAGUGGCGGUGCCUGUCGGCUCUACGCGUAGUAAUACUUCUCGCGAUUGAGUUCGAUAGGUCUACUUGCCAGUAACCCCCAAUUUUUACAGGUUGACCUCGGAUCAGGUAGGGAUACCCGCUGAACUUAAGCAUAUCAAUAAGCGGAGGA
rnacentral:misc_RNA from 1 species